rnacentral:ncRNA from 1 species
UAUCAUGCGAUGAAUAGGAGUAUUAGUAAUAGUUAUAUCUAUAAGAGAGCUGUUGGUAGCUGUAAAACAGUGUUAUAUUAUUAUGAACUUGCCUAGGAGCUUACUUGUUAAAGCAAGUACGGUAAUACCGUUAAAAUAUUAAGUGAGAAGAUUUGAUUUAUUCUAUUUCUUCUAAUUAAGAGUGGUACCACGGAAAUUGCGCUUUCGUCUCUUUA